rnacentral:lncRNA from 1 species
GAUGACUUUGACUCUGUUUUCAGGUUCCUGGGAUUCCUGCUUGUAGGAGCAGGGUGACUUCUGCUUAAGUAUCUGUUUGCAUCACAUUCCUCACCACUCAGGAAAGCCACCUCCAUCUUUCUCUCUCUCUCUCACUGCUUCCUCUGGGGGAAGUCAGCUACUACCUAGUGAAGACACUCAGGUAGCCUCCUGUCAAGUCACAGAGAUCUCUUAACAACCAUCUGAGAGAGCUUGGAAGCAGACCAUUGAACCCCAGACAAGCUUUGCGAUGAGACGGCAACCCCAGCUUCCGGCUUGGCUACAGCCUAAGACACCCUGAGCCAGAACCAUCCAGCUAAGCCCCUCGCAGAUUCCCCACCCACGAAAAUGCUGAGAUGACACAUAAGAUUUCUUUAGCUGUGUAGCUGGGCUGGAAGGCUGCGGUUGGCUGAAGGCCGACUCCUGUGAUUGACGGAAAGGAAACAGCCAUUGAAAGAGGAGGAGCAAGAAAAUUGGCACUAGUUGCCUACUUAAAGCUAAAAAUUAGAAAAAUAAAUUAAUAAGAACUUUCAAAAUGUGUACAUGAUCUUUUUUUAUUGACUAGAAAAC